rnacentral:rRNA from 1 species
GACGAACGCUGGCGGCGUGCCUAAUACAUGCAAGUUGAGCGCUGAAGGUUGGUACUUGUACCGACUGGAUGAGCAGCGCACGGGUGAGUAACGCGUGGGGAAUCUGCCUUCGAGCGGGGGACAACAUUUGGAAACGAAUGCUAAUACCGCAUAAAAACUUUAAACACAAGUUUUAAGUUUGAAAGAUGCAAUUGCAUCACUCAAAGAUGAUCCCGCGUUGUAUUAGCUAGUUGGUGAGGUAAAGGCUCACCACGGCGAUUCUACAUAGCCGACCUGAGAGGGUGAUCGGCCACAUUGGGACUGAGACACGGCCCAAACUCCUACGGGAAGCAGCAGUAGGGAAUCUUCGGCAAUGGACGAAAGUCUGACCGAGCAACGCCGCGUGAGUGAAGAAGGUUUUCGGAUCGUAAAACUCUGUGGUAGAGAAGAACGUUGGUGAGAGUGGAAAGCUCAUCAAGUGACGGUAACGACCCAGAAAGGGACGGCUAACUACGUG